UUUAAUUUUUUAAUUUAAUUCCGUUCGACUCGACUCGAAUUUCAUUUCACUCGAUUUGAUUCGAUAAAUUUCAAAUCAAGUUAGGAUGAUAAAAUAAGACUCGUCAACUCGAAAAUUUUUCACUCAAUUCGACCGAAUGCUCACCCUUAAUUUUAACCAUCAAUGUUAUGUCUAAAAUUCACACCAACAAUCAAAAUACAAAAUUAUAACUAAGCAUCAAAGUAAACAACACCAUAGCAUAAUAUCAUAGUUCCAAAACAAUUUAGCAAUGCCACAGCAUCAUCAGUAUCAUUAUCUCAAAUAGCAAGGGCUUACGAAACGAAGGGGCGAACAAAGAAAAAAAAAGAGAAAAGUAGCGUCUAGAGACUUUUGGCAUCGCCAACCAUCCACCAACUGAGAGCUGCAGCAAAACUCUCAUCAGACGUGGACCACCAGCGUUGAAACACCCCACUGGACCCUCUUCAACAAAAGGUUGCUCGGGAGAAGAGAAAAGAGCCAUGAAAGCUCAAACAAGGUCCCCAAAAGGGGUUAUUAAGUCGAGAGAAUAGCAUAAAAAAAUAUAAGAACUAGGAGAUGGAUAACCAACCACUGGCAGCGUGUGAUUGGCCGUCGAGGCUAAUGUAAGUCAUUUUUUUAUACCUUUUCCUUUCUAUGGACUCUUUUAAGCUUAACAACUUAUUAUAUGGCUUAUAAACAAAAGGCAAAUGAUUUAUCUAAAUUGUGUAAAAUAAAUUGUUUUGAGAUAUUUUUAUAUUUCUAGUAAGAGAUUAAUGUAUCCUACAUUUAUAGAAGUGAUAAAGGUUUUUAAUAUUACACAUUCAUAAUAGAAGGAGAUGAGUAAUGAUACAGGACAUAGCAACUAUAAUAAUAACUCCAUUUCUAUCCGUACGUCUAGUUUUGAGAAUAAACAAUAACAUGUUGAUAAUACUUAUUAAGAAAAAAUAAUUGCUUUAUAAUAAUUACAUAAAUUAAUUAAUGAAGCAGCUAGAGUAAAGGUAAUAAAAUCUAAAACCACUAGUGUUUUUCAAAUUGCUUAGAGAAGAGGAAAGGGAUAAAAUCAAAUCCAACACCACCACAUGCAAAAGUUCACUAAUUCAAAUGACUUUUCUUUAGUUCACACCCAAUUAAAGUAAUACCUAUUGAUAUAUUUUAAAGCACUUCAAAGAUUCUGACUUCAUCUCCCCUAUUUAUACAUUAAUUCUACAAGGUUCAAAAGUUUUUAUUUAAAAAGGAAAAAAAACAUGUCAUCAUAUUAAUCUACAUAUUAGAAGUUUAUAUCAUAUUUUAAAUUAUAAAAAUAUAUAUAACCAAAUUUAUUCAGAAUAAAAGUACUUUUUCUCUGUUAAAAUGAUAAAAGGAAAAAGGCCCUUUAUUUAUUUACGAAUUACCCUAAAAAAAAGCUUUGCUUCCGAAGAAUGGAAAAUCGAAAUUUUUUUUUAGUCCACUGUGUCAUAUCUUAAAGAACCAGGCAAGUUCCGACACGUGGCCACACAUUUUUAAUUGAAAUUCUUUAUCCUAGAUAAGAUUCUGUUAUCUCAGAUUACCAAAAUUAGAAUUUGACCACUCAUUAUAGCCAAGAAUAUACAUUUUUAAAAGAAACAAAUAUUUUAAUAUCAUAUCAUAAACAUUAUCUUGAAUCGGCUUUGUCUCUGUCUAUUUCUUUUCAUUUAUACAUGCUAAAAAAAGAAUAAUCGAAUAUGUUAGUGCUUUGUUGAUAAGAUUUACGAGGGCCAAGCUUAUCCCAUUUAAGGUUUAAACACAAUUUGGAUAAUGAUAAGUUGGAUAACUAUUAUUAUUAUAUUAUCACAUUUACAUAUUCUUGUAUUACUCUAAUUUUAAAUUUGAAUAUAAAAAUAAUUGAUUGAGUCUUAAUAUAUAAAUUUCAACACGUACUAUGAAAAUUAUUUUUUAAAAUUAACGUAAACAUGCAAAUAUGUUGAAAUAUAUGUAAAAUAAAUUAGUAACGUAUCAAAUAUCACACAUGAAAAACAAUAUCAAAAUGAUAUUAGCAUAAUGAUCACAAAUGUAGAAAAGUAUAUGUAACAUGUCAAAAUCAACAAAUUAUUUUUAUUACAAAUAUGAUCACAAAGGUGCUUUCAAAUUCUCUAUCAACUAAAGUUGGGAUAACUUUUGACAUAACAAUUUAUGUUUUAAAGCGUCUUUUAGUCUCGCUUAGAUAAACUAAUUGGGAUUAUUGGAUAAAUCUAACUUAGAGGCCAUUGUAUCCCUCCUCCAUCUUUGAAAUCCUAUCACGUGACCCAUACCUGUCUAUAAUCCCUCAUCCAUUUCUCCUUAUGAAAUGAAAUUCAAUUCCCCGAACACAAAUGCAAGCAUCAACUAUCUAAAUAUCCCUCAAAAUUUUCAAAACUCCCCUCCAAUUUAAAAUAUAACAAGAGAUUACCCUUCCAACAACUAUGAAUUUUGACAACCUCUUUGAUUGAAUAUUUUAACAAGAAUGAACAAAUCAUUAACCUAGCGACUAAAAAAUGGCAGAAAAAAUACUUCUAUCCCUUUACUUCAAGGAAAACCACAAAAAAAAUUAAGUUAAAAAAUCCCUCCAAACAACUUAUUCAAAAUGAUUGGUUGAAGAAUAUGCCUACAAGAGAUUAGACUCAAACUUAAGACAAAAAGUUUUUCAUGGCGAGAGAGUUCCCGACGAACAAGUAAUUAAUAGUUAUUUAGAGCAAAUCAAUUAAAUAAUUCCAAAUUCUGAGGUUUAUUUUUGUAUGACUUUUUGGAAGAAUAAAACUGAUAGGAAAUUAUAUUUUUAGAUAUAAAAAUAACCAAUGGAUUUUUUUUCUUCAAAAAAUAGUAAAAUCAAUGUGAGAAGUGAAAUUUAAGUUUAAAAUAAGAUAACAAACCUCCAGGUAGUAUUUCCUGUGGAAUCUAUAUAUUUUUAUUAAGUUUUAACAAAAAAUAUAGGAUGUGAGGUAUUAGUAUUAGUCGUGAAAUUUGAAAAUGAGGUAUAUUUUUAUUGUUAAAAACAUGCAGAUUUUUCUAUGUAAAUUUAAUUUAAUGGAAUUGAAAUAAAUAGGAAAAGAAAUGGAAAAAUCCGGAACAACA
rnacentral:lncRNA from 1 species